UCUCAUAACGGAUGGUUGUGAGCCACCAUGUGGUUGCUGGGAAUUGAACUCAGGACCUCUGGAAGAGCAGUCAGUGCUCUUAACCUCUGAACCAUCUCUCCAGCCCCGUAGCAAGCACUCUUAAUCAUGGAAUGACCUCUCUGCCCAAAGUUCCUAACUUUUAAAGACGGGAUCUCAUGUAGCUAAGCUCUUCACCGUGUAGCUUGAGAGUGACCUUGAAUUCCUUUUCUUUUUCAAUCACCACCUAAGUGCUAGUAAAUAAUAAAAUAGUAAUAAUAAUAAUAAUCUUUGCUUACUCUUUCACUCUAUUCUGCGUCCCUGUGUCAACCUGUGCCCCGACACUCUUUAUAUGUUCUUUUUGAAUCCCUUUUAAAGAUACCUUUCCUGUGUCUGCUUCAAGUCUAGAUUUUUUGAGUAUUCUCUUUUAAGUUGUAGAUCUUUGUCUUUUUACCUAUUUGAAUUAAAAAUAACUUCUGUUAGUUGCCCACUUUGCUUUGUAGCCCAGUCUAUGGUCAUCUUUGGCAGUGUUUUAUGUAUGCUUGAAGAGGAGUAUUCUAGUUGCUAGGUACAAGGUCAAGGGAUACUGUGCAGAUAAUUCUGUUUUGUUUACUUGUUUUAUAAGUUACCAAGUAAGAAUUGCCUGUUAAUUUCUCCAAUCACAACUGCAGGUUAUUUUCACUUAUAAUUCUGGUUCUGUUUAUAAGACCAUGUGGUUAGGUAUGUAAAAGUUUAAUAUUACGUUGUGACAGCCUAUAGUAUUUAAUUUAUAGAUGGACUGUUGUUAUUUCUAGUAGCGAUUUUGAGACUCCCACUUAAUUCCACCUUCCCAUUUGGACCAGACUCUGAGGUUUGACUAUUGUUUCCCUCAGCCUGCCAAACAGCCCUUCUCAACCCUCUCUCAGAUUGGUAGAUACCUUCAGGGCCACCAUAACUUUAGAGGCUGGCCUUACUUUGUGACUUUGCCCUCUCUAGGUUGUAGAUUUGCCUGUUGAUUCAUUUUCAAUUAUUGAGAAAUUAUUUUAAAAUGAGUUUAGCUUUAUUCCUUGUUCUCAUCAGAGAUUUGCCAAAGUUGCCAGGUAUGGUGGCUUAUCCUGUAAAUCCCAGUCUUUAGGAAACUGAGGCAGGAGGAUUUUAAGUUUGAGGCUAGCCUGUGCUACAAAAGGAGCUCCAGUCCAGCCUGACCAGUGACAUACUGCCUCAAACAGCAACACAAAACCCCAAAGAAAGUUAUGAUUCUUUUGUUAGAAGUGUCUCUGGUUUGAUUUUUCUAAUGUUAUUCCUCUGAAUUAUGCUUAAUUACAGGAUUAAAAGAUAACUUUGGCCUCUCCUUGUACUGCGUAGGCUCCUUCGGUUCAGUACUUUUUCUUCUGUGCAAAUAUGAGAGGAUAAUGAAACUGUUUUGGAAGAUUAGAUGGACUGGAGAGAUGGCUCAGCAGUUGAGACUAUGAUAGCAGAGGGUCCCAGCUCAGUUCCGGCACUCACAUUGGUGGCUCACAGCCUCCUGUAACUCCAGCUCCAGGGGAUCUUGAUGCCUUCUUUUGGUCUCUAUGGGUAUUGUAUACACACAGUCACAAAAAAAAAAAAAAAACCAAAAACCAAAAAA